AAAGUUUGUUGUGCAGGGGCCUUUGAAAACAGUAUGCUGAGAAUAGAUAGGGCUCAAGGACAGUAUCUCCAAUUGAACUUUUAAUGAACUCCCGUAGGCGCCAAGAAGGCGGGCAGAUAAGGAAGAGCAUAGAAACAACUGAGUAGAAGGUACAUCUGGGAAAAGAAAGUUUGUUUUGCAUUGCAUUCUUUCUGCUGACGUGGGGUUUAUGGAGUAUAAAUAAAGUGAGGCGGAGGCUCUGAGCGCAGCCGCCAUGUUCUCUGUGUGUCUUUGUCUUUUGUGUGUUCUUUCAUUCUCCACCACCCCUGGCACGGACCCCAACAUUGUUGCAUGGAAGCUGUUGAUUUGAGGAAUUUGAAGGUUUCUGGAAGAAGGAUUUGGAAAAUUUGAAGUGAACCUCUUUUGGGAAUUAAAAGUGCUAGGUCCCUUCUCAUGGGAUCGAAUAGCAGAGUCCUGGCUACGGGUUCAAAUGCCCUGCUGAAAUCCUCAGACAAUUCCAACAUCCACAAAGCUACGAAAGGAGCAAUGCCUCUGAGAACCUUGGAAAGGGGAAAGGGAGCAAUGUCAUCUGCACUCAGUCAUGGAGGAAACAGCUGGACAAGUCAGCACAGGGAGGUGGUGACCGGUAGAGGAGACUUGGAGUUCUUCAGGUACCUGGAGAUCACUGAAUACUGGCCUUCCAGACCCCUUUAUACCAGGUUCUCUAUCCUGAGGGAAAUGGCCUGCCUGAAAGGGACUAAAUGA
rnacentral:lncRNA from 1 species